rnacentral:lncRNA from 1 species
GUGCUGUCCCCCGGAUUAAGAGUUGGACGCUGGAUUGGAUCUUGUGACCGAUUUAGAAUCCUUGAUCGCUGGAAUUUUUAAUGGAUAUAGAUGUGGAUAUUGAACAAUUCUUGCAGGAGAGGAAUCUCCAAUUUAUGUGUCCAAAGAUUCUUGAUCAUCACCGGACAAUCAUAAAGGUAGGUCGGUUCCAAGACCUCCAAGGUAUCCAUAGAAUUUCAAACCGCC